AAAGCAGGCUGCAAUUGCAGUGCUUCAUUCUGUGGGAGCACUGCCAUUUUCCUGCUGAGAGUAACCCUGUUAAUGCUGUCUUCGGUUUCGCCUAUACGGUGGUGAAACUGUUUGUUCUUGACAUGUACAAGU
ensembl:snoRNA